CAACUUUUAACAAUGGAUCUCUUGGCUUUUGCAUCGAUGAAAAACGUAGCAAAUUGCGAUAACUAGUGUGAAUUGCAAAUUCAGUGAAUCAUCGAGUCUUUGAACGCAUCUU
rnacentral:rRNA from 1 species